GAACGCACAUUGCGCCCGCUAGUAUUCUGGCGGGCAUGCCUGUUCGAGCGUCAUUUCAACCAUCAAGCGCCUGCGCUUGUGUUGGAGCCCUGCGGCUGCCGCAGGCUCCCAAACCCAGUGGCGGGCUCGUCGUCGUACCGAGUGCAGUAAACUUACCACGCUCAGGGCGCGCGACGGGUGACCGGCCGUAAAACCCCCAACUUAUCAAGGUUGACCUCGGAUCAGGUAGGAAUACCCGCUGAACUUA
rnacentral:misc_RNA from 1 species